GUGGAUGAUGUGGUUUAAUUCGAUGCAACGCGAAAAACCUUACCCACCUUUGACAUGUACGGAAUUUGCCAGAGAUGGCUUAGUGCUCGAAAGAGAGCCGUAACACAGGUGCUGCAUGGCUGUCGUCAGCUCGUGUCGUGAGAUGUUGGGUUAAGUCCCGCAACGAGCGCAACCCUUGUCAUUAGUUGCUACAUUCAGUUGGGCACUCUAAUGAGACUGCCGGUGACAAACCGGAGGAAGGUGGGGAUGACGUCAAGUCCUCAUGGCCCUUAUAGGUGGGGCUACACACGUCAUACAAUGGCUGGUACAAAGGGUUGCCAACCCGCGAGGGGGAGCUAAUCCCAUAAAACCAGUCGUAGUCCGGAUCGCAGUCUGCAACUCGACUGCGUGAAGUCGGAAUCGCUAGUAAUCGUGGAUCAGAAUGUCACGGUGAAUACGUUCCCGGGUCUUGUACACACCGCCCGUCACACCAUGGGAGCGGGUUCUGCCAGAAGUAGUUAGCUUAACCGCAAGGAGGGCGAUUACCACGGCAGGGUUCGUGACUGGGGUGAAGUCGUAACAAGGUA
rnacentral:rRNA from 1 species